rnacentral:tRNA from 1 species
CAUUAGAUGGCCGAAUGCAAGCUUUGGUCUUUUAAACCAAUUAAUAGUAAUCUAGCAAUUACUUCUAAUGA